ACCUAUGUUCCAAUUAUAUUCCUAAAACAUCCAUCCAUUGAAAGGGAAUCGUCAUCCGAAAACUCUUAGUUUACACCUCUACAACACAAUUGGGUUAGAAAGACAUGCACCAGAGAAGACUCCCACCCCCCAUCAACCAUGACUUCUUAGGAACAUGACUUUUCCUGUUACCAAGGUGUCAGGGCUGCGAAUAAAGGACUGGUACUAAAGGGUUAAUGUUUCUCCAUGAGAAGAGUGUUCUGAAGAUGUGUGGAGACUUAUAAGCCAUUUAUAAAGGACUGCGCUGACUCUUCUUCUGGGGGUCCACAUCGGAUCAUAGGAAGUAUUUUGCUGAAUAUUGCUGGGACAUGGCUUCACUGACCCCCCCACCGAUCCUCAGAAUGAAGAGAUGCUCAGAUCUUCAGAAUUAAGUGGUGCUCCUAUCUGCCCCCUAAAGGAGACUUCAGCACAGCUCUGUUCACUGUACCAAUACCCUCUAUUCAGGCUGCCGAAGAGCGGAUCACACUGAUGUUUGGCAUUAGCGCACGCCUGUGGCCACUUUGGAUCCCGACCCUUUACUGGAGGAGCAGUUUCGCACUGAAGUUGGGCAGUACAAGUGUAUUGCCUCCAGUCAUACAGUAUUAUAUAUUUUCUAUAUGGCUGGAGGCAGUAUGUCUGUG